UCCACGCCGUAAACGAUGAAUACUAGGUGUCGGGCGUCAAAACUCGGUGCCGCAGCAAACGCAUUAAGUAUUCCGCCUGGGGAGUACGCACGCAAGUGUGAAACUCAAAGGAAUUGACGGGGACCCGCACAAGCAGCGGAGCAUGUGGUUUAAUUCGAAGCAACGCGAAGAACCUUACCAGGUCUUGACAUCUCUCUGACCGAUCCUUAGCCGGAUCUUUCCUUCGGGACAGAGAUGACAGGUGGUGCAUGGUUGUCGUCAGCUCGUGUCGUGAGAUGUUGGGUUAAGUCCCGCAACGAG
rnacentral:rRNA from 1 species